rnacentral:rRNA from 1 species
AACGAACGCUGGCGGCAGGCCUAACACAUGCAAGUCGAACGCCCUGGCAACAGGGAGUGGCAGACGGGUGAGUAACGCGUGGGAACGUGCCCUUCGGUUCGGAAUAACUCAGGGAAACUUGAGCUAAUACCGGAUACGUGCGAGAGCAGAAAGAUUUAUCGCCGAAGGAUCGGCCCGCGUCCGAUUAGCUAGUUGGCGAGGUAACGGCUCACCAAGGCGACGAUCGGUAGCUGGUCUGAGAGGAUGAUCAGCCACACUGGGACUGAGACACGGCCCAGACUCCUACGGGAGGCAGCAGUGGGGAAUAUUGGACAAUGGGCGCAAGCCUGAUCCAGCCAUGCCGCGUGAGUGAUGAAGGCCCUAGGGUUGUAAAGCUCUUUCGCCAGGGACGAUAAUGACGGUACCUGGAUAAGAAGCCCCGGCUAACUUCGUGCCAGCAGCCGCGGUAA